GUGCUUGUUUGUCAGAACAUAUACUAAAAUUGGAAUGAUACAGAGAUUAGCAUGUCUCCUGAGCAACGAUGAAAUACAAAUUCAUGAAGCAUUCCAUAUUUUA